rnacentral:lncRNA from 1 species
UGAUAUCUAGAAAUUCAGGGCCACUGUGCGUAAUAUUCUUUUGACAGAUUUCUUAAAUUUGUGUUUCUAAAAAAAUUCAUGCAGUUGUAUACUUUUUGAUUACAGGAAAUGCCAUACAAGGGAAGAGAUUUUUAGCAAGUUGCUUGAGGCUGCAUUCUCAUGAACUCUGCUGUGCUUAUAACGAAUAGCCAGCCUCACUCAAAUCCAGGGUAUAAUUGUAACUUUAUAACCUUUGACGUUCUAACAAAUGUAGUCCCUUUUUAUUUUCUUCCCGAUAAAGUUAUUUGAUAUUGAUUGAAGUGGCAUACAAAACUCUCAUCUUUUUAGAUUGGUUUGUACUCGCAUCGUCCUCUUACUGUCUGGUGUUGCACAUGUGAGGAUAUAUACAGAUUUUGCUAUUUUACAGCCUAUUAUUUUUUUGGGUAACUCGCAUUUUGGUCCCUCAAAGGAUUGAGUGAUUCCCACUUUGCCCUCCGAACUAAUAAUUUUCUCACUUUGCACCCUUAGUUAUAUAAAUCGUUGCAAUCAACCCCGACAUCCAACGUCUGUCUACAAAAUAGAUGAAAAUUAUCAGUUAGGCCAUCACGUGUUGACUCGACACGGAUCCAAGGGCAACCCAUGUUAACGUCAUAGAAAAUAUGCAAAUUUAAUUUAUCUUUUAUUUUAUUCGAUCUCUAAAUCUCUCUCAUUUGCUGUUAGACAAAAAAUAUUGAAUUUGGAUAUUUCUAAGAAGUUAACAUGGGUUGCCCUUAGAUCUGGGUUGGAUCAACACGUGACGUGACAAUUUUUGUUCAAAUUGUAGACGGACGCUAAAUGUCGGGGUUGAUUGCAAUAGUUUAUAUAGUUGAGGGUGCAAAGUGCAAAAAUCAUUAAUUAGGGGGCAAAGUAGGAAUUGUUCAAUACUUUGAGGGGGCAAAGUGCAAUCUACCCUUUCUUUUUUUUUUUUCAUUCAUAGUUAGAACUGCAAGUUGUGUUUAUUUCUUGUUGUACUCCAUUAUUAUCUUUCAUUGAUGAUGUACAAAAAAAAAUUGAACUCCAGCGUUUUAUAUUUGCCAGUUCGGUGGGGUUCCCAGUACAAGGAAUCUCAGUAGUGGACCUAGUGGUGAAAGAGGGAUUGUUUACAAUUUUUUUUCUCUAUGGAAAUUGACAUUUUUAUCUCUCUCUAUUUUAACCAUGAACGGGUGAUUUCAAGGGUUAGACUUUUUAGGAAUUAUUCUUCGGUGGGUGCUAUAUAAACUAUUCGCUUUAACUUAUGUAACGGGAAAGAUUCGAGACUCGGGGAAUGAAAUCCAAAGUUUUUUUCACUUAACCAACCUCUUGGAUUAAAAUAUAAGAAAUUAUAAUUUUGUGCACCCUAAUUUGAUCAAAAUUUUCACACUCAAUUACUCUCGUCAAUUUAAAAAAAAAAAACUCUUGUUAAGAGAAAUUUAAAAAGUCUAAGAUUUUGCUAGCAUGGUUAAAAAAAUUUAUUAAAAAAUCAGUAGAUUUCUUUGCUCAAAUUUACUGAGAUUGAAAAGAAAGAUGGAGAGAGACAAAUACUGUGGUGGGUUUAUAUUUGUUUGCCGAAUAAAGUUGGAAUUGGAUAAAGAAAAUCCACCAGGACCACAAAAUACUGUUUGGGUUGUCAAUAGGAGACCUAACUGUUAAUCAAAUGGAGACAAAUGUAUAUGAGAAAAAUCCCAGUGACAGCUAAAAGUCCAAAGUGAGGUGGGCUUUGAAAUACACAUUUGUUCUCGUAUUUAUAUAAAUUCUCUCAUAUGACGUGCGUGAACCCCUCAAGGGCCUCAACAUAGAGGUAUCUAGUGGAAAAACGUCUUAAAUUAAGGGUUAGUAUGUUUGCUACGUGUAGAAGAUGCUAGAAAAGUGACAUAUAGUAUUUCUUGCGCUACAUAUAUUUUUGUUAUCCCUUUGUUUCAGAUUUUGAGAUCUGUAAUACCUAAAAGCACACUGUCCCAUGGUGUUUUUUGAUGGGUUCAUCAUUGGCCCAUCUAUAUAAUUUAAAUCGUUUAUUCUCAUUAGUACAUAAUCUAUGAAAAAAAGUCAGAAUAUAAAAAAAUUAACAUAUCUGUAAAACACUAUAUAUAAGGGUACAAAUUCUUUUACACGUGUUAUGUAGACCUCAUCUACCGUGUGUGGGGCUCGUAUGUCAUAUGUGAAAAAGUGUAUGCCCGAGGGAGAAUUUGAGAGAGACCGCACUAUGGAUAAAAAAAUGUUUGCGAUUUCCACUAUUCUUUUUCUCAUAGUACGUUUUGAAUUUUAUUAAGAUAAAUUUAUCCAAAUACUCAAUUUUACUAAAAUAUUUUUAUUACAAGAAAGAACAUUUAAAAAAAAUUAUUAUAAUAAAGAAAAAAAUAGUGUCAUUAAAAAAAGAGUGUGAUAUUAAAUAAAUCAAUAAUGUUCACUGUAUACAAAUUAAAGGGUGUAGGUGGAAAUUAAAAAGCAGAAAAAGAAAAGGCAGAGUCUAAUUAGCAGCAGCAAAGCGAAGAAGAUAAGGGAGGGAGGCAUGUAGCUUUCUAGAGAGAGAGAGGUUUGAAGAAAGGAGACAUGUAAGACUCCAUCCCAACAUUCCCAUCAUUCACCCAAAUCCCAAAGGUCUCUCUAUGUGCCCUUAACUUUUAUCUUUCUUUGGGUCUAUUCUGCAUCUAAUUCUCCCAUUUUACGGGACUUGCACACACAAGCAUAUAUGGAUUUUGUAUGUUGACAGUGUUUGAAAUCAUUUGUCUUCUUUUGGGCUUUGAUUUAUGGAAUGUAAUUGGAACUUAAGAUGGUUGAUUGUUGUUUCGAUUGUUGUUGCUGUUGAGAAAAUGGAGCUUCUGAGUAUUGGGUAACUGUUGCAUGUGUUGAUUUUGGAGUUUUACCUAUUUUGACCCUUUUGAUCAUUUAUAUCUUUGCCUUUUCUCAAGUUAUAUACUAUUUUGUUGGGGGCAUGUUGUGACAGUUGUGUCAUAUAUAUUUGUUUUGGUUCACCACGGAAGAAACUAUACAUCAUUUCGAAUUUUGAUCAUCAGGGGAUGGUGCAGAUUCCAGAACCUUUUAUAUGAUAAUUUCUGUGAUAACCUAAAUGGGUAUACGAAUCAAAAAGGGUUAAUCAAUUACCUAAAUUAGUUGGAAAUAUUGAAUGAGUGAAGGCAUGCAUUGUGUCUGGGCCCAUAUAGUAGGUACCUUUGAAGUCUAAUUAACUGUUUGCAGAUAUGUAAAAAUUCUAACCUGCCUAUAAUUUGUUGCAUCUCUCAAUCCCCAGGUUUCUCAAAGGCCCAUAUAUAGUGUGUGGGUGUGGGUGUGGGUGUGGGUGGGAGGAUAAAUACAAAGGCGCUGAAAAUGAAAGGGGGAAAGGGAUUAGGGCCUCCAAAAUUAGGUUUCUCUCUCUCUAAUAAAUAUCAAAUUGGUAAAAUUAGGGUUCGAAUGCUGCAAAUUACUAGGGUUUCACACCAAAUCGGAGAGUAAAUCUGCAAUGCUUUGGUGAUUGAGAAGGAAUAUGGAUGCUCCUUCUCGAUAUGGUAUGUUUCCCACUUUUUUUUUUGUUUAUCAAUGGUAAUCUUUGAUUUCCUGCAAGACACUAUUGUAAUGUGAUUAAGAACUAAUCUCCUGUAAUACUAUUCUACUUCCGUCAUCAAUUUGACGGGAGUUAACGUCGGUGGGCAAAUUGAUGACGAUUUCAAAAGGUCAGAGGUUUAACUGAUAUUUUUCAAAAGAAGGUGUGUAUGAGAUAUUUGGGUAAAAGUUUAGGGGAGAUUUUGAUUUUUUCUCGAGAAAGAAAGAUCAGGUGCUCUGGAUUGUUUCUUUUGACUGCUUAUGGAUACAAAAUUGCAAUGGUUGAUCAAACUAGUAGAUGUCUUUCAAAGGCCUCUGUUAAGUUUAACAAGAGGAUUAUAGGGGCUACAAUUUAAAUUGUGCGAGUUGAAAAACAUCUAGUGCAUUGUUUAUGGUUCAGAACAGAUUAUUAUGUAAUUUAGAUGGUAGUUUAGAAAAAGUCUGCAGAUUAAAUUUUCUUAAUAUAUUUUUUCUUCUCUCUCAUGUUGUGAGAUCUAUGCACUUUCAUAGUGGUGUUUGUUUUCCGUCAAAGCUAGAAGCUACAGAAGGAGUCAAGAUUUGCGAUGAUCCCCAACUGUUAUUUAAGUGACUGGUAACUAACGGGCUGAUAUGAUUUAUCUUCUCAUUUUUGCUUUUCUUUAUAAAUUUAUUCUCAUGGCUGAGCAUGCAAGAAGGUAUAGACAACAUACCAAUAUAAAUACUGUCUGUGCAUUCAAAUUCCUUUUGGAGCUGGACCAAUCUUAAAUAAUAUAUUAAAAUUGCCUCCCAAACAGUAAACAUGAUGAACCAUGCCAUGUGAUUUUCUUUUUCUCAUUUUCAUUUUUCUUCUCUAUUUUUCGGUGGUUUUAGCGAGGUGGUGCUAAUCAACUAUCUGCUGAAGCUUUGUAGGAGUUAAACUAAUUGAAUAUCUAGAAUUUUCACCCGGAACCAAUUUUAUUCCAACUUGUUGAGUUCUUUUGUGGAGUCUAGUUUGUAUUGAUCCGGAUGAUGACCCGACCCGAAAUAAUAUUGCGUGGUUUUAAAUGGAAUUUUCAAUGAAGCUUAGUCCAUGGAGCGGAGGCUUGGGCCGAUAGGCCCAAAGCUGAAAAAAAAUUGGACUUAUUUUGUAGCCCGCUGUUUUGGUGUUUGGGGUUAAAAACGCGUACAUUGUAUGGCCGUAUUGUAACACUCUCUCUCAAUAGUGAAAUCCCUCCAGUUUCGUGGACGUAGGCAAAAUUGCCGAAUCACGUAAAAUCUGUGUGUCUUACUUUUACUUCUUAUUGUUUGAUGUUCUUGGUUUGUUUUUCGAUUGUGUGUGUUUGUCUAUGGGUUUAAAACGAGUUAAAUCCUAACACAACUUCCCCAAUCAUUCAUUGUCAUAUACCAGCUUGAUAUCUGCUCUUUUGGUUGUUCUUUCUCUUUAGGAGCCUGUUGUGGGUCAAAUUAAGUCAGCUGCAUUGAUGGGAACCCAGGAUUGUGUUCUACCUCCUUCGCAAGUUAAUUAUAUACCAUCCUUUGUAAGCAGGAUAAAGCUAUGUUAAUUAUAAUUUGAUUUUUACUCGUUCGUUUUAUCAUUUGAAGUGAGUAGUAAUGUCUUGCUGCUCCAGGCUUGCGUUCCUCUUUCUUACCCAGAUCCAUACUUUCGUGGGUUACUGGCUGCUUAUGGGCCAGACUAUGGUAAGUACGUACGAUAAUAUGUCAACCCUGAUUCAUUGUUUUUUUUUCUGUCCAUACUAAUUGCAGAUUAGUAACAUCUCACGCAAUAUAAACAAAUGACAGUACUUGCUUUGAAUUUCAGAUUCCCUCAAUUUAUGGGAACUGGAAUGUGUUUCUUGAGGAACUUCCGAACUUGUUUAAACUUUAAGUUUCUGAAAUAUUGGUCUCAAUUGAUUCUACAAAGUUCUGAAAUUUUUUUAUUACUCUAUUCGUGUACAACGAAAAUGAAUUAAUCACUAGAAGGUGAUACUAAUUGACGACGUCACUUUUGCUUUAUCCAUAUGGAGAGCACAUGUUCAAACAGACCACUCAAAUGGUGAAAACACUGGAAAUUUCUUCAGACCAAAUGACGUUUUCAUUGGAAGGGUGGUGACGUGGUAUGACAUUCAAAUGGCUACCAUACGGGGAAAAUCAUUAAUAAAUACGACACGACAAACAACGCUCUCGUUCAAAUGUGAAGUGUUCUGUUUUGGAAAAGUUUCGGUUCAAAUCCAGUGCAACCAAUCUAAAUUGGUUCUAAGGUCCUAGCCCAAAAAGCUUGAUGCUGCAAAUGAUAACUUCUUACAGGUCUUUGCUACACUCAUUUCAUCUGCUUCACUUGUUUUCAUAAAGUAGAAAAGGAGAAUGCAACAUGUGAGUACUAUUCGUGGUCCACUUGAAAAAAAAUCAUGCUCCUUGUGUUAGUAUAAUAUGAAGAUCAUCCACCUUCAGUGUUAAUUCUCUCUCCCUCUCUCUCUCUCUCUAUCAAUAUAUAUAUUUAUUGAGGUGCGGCUAGACUCUACACUCUAGACCGUCCUUUUUUCCUAGUAGGACCUUCCGUAGCAUUCAUGCAUAAUCGGUUCUUUGAAGCACGCACAUAACAUAUAUUAUGCUGCCCUUACGGAUUCUUCAGAGUUAAUAAAGGAGGAUUAUGAAGAACUAUGCCAUUCUAGUUAUAUUUUAUACUUUCUUUUGAACUUUGCAUCUGCUUUGUUCUUAUUCUUCUAUGUUUUUCUUCCCUCAAUGGCUUUUUUUUUUUAUUAUGGCAAGGUUUCUAGUCUUAUAAUUGGGCAUCUUUUAUGAAGUCUAACACCACGCUCAGCAAUAUAUAAUUCAUGUUAAAUUAGGAUGUUUCUGCCACUGGAUUCCACAAUCCAGUGGUUGUAAGGAUGCGAUUUUCUUGUCCUUGAAUACAUCUAUGACCUGCUAGUUUAUUUAACCCCACCAGUUAUGGUGUUAACUACCAAAGAUGUGUUCUAACUGCAACCCUUUAUGAUAUACUUACCAUUGAAGUUUCACCAGAUUCAUCAUCCCCAAAUGCUGGGGAUGGAACCUGCUCGAGUGCUGCUGCCUCUUAAUCUUCCACAGGACGAGCCCAUAUAUGUCAAUCCAAAACAAUAUCGUGCAAUUCUCAGGCGUAGAGAAUACCGUGCCAAGCUCGAGGCUCAAAACAAACUCUUCAAAGCUCGAAAGGUACGAGCCCUUUUUGGUCUCCUUUCCUUUGUACUCUCCUCCAGUGGUGCUGUGGAUGUUUGACCCAAAAAGCAUUAUUCCCUGAUCAACUCUCUCUCUCUCUCUCUCUCUCAGCCUUAUCUCCACGAGUCCCGCCAUCUACAUGCGUUGAAGAGGGCUAGAGGAUCUGGUGGGCGAUUUGUCAACACAAAGAAGAUCGAAGAAUCCAAGCCUUCCACAGCCAAUGGACAAGACAUAUUUGGCUCGAGCCAGCUCCAUUUUGCCACUAACAUGUUAGAAUCUGAAGUUUGUCAGCCAGAACAUUGCAAAGAGGGUGCUUCAACAACCUCUUGUUCUGACCUCACGAGUGCCUCCAACAGUGUGUGUUUGUGUUCCAGCAGCAAGAAUUCGGGUUCUCUGUUUACCCUUCUUGCAUCGGUGGGAACCCACACCCUCUCUCAGGCCACUGGUGACGCAUGAGACCGACACCGGUUGAAUCAGCAGUGCGGAUGCUGUUGAUAUAGGGAAGUCAUCCUUGGCUAUGUUAAUUUGUUUUGUUACGUUGCUCGACUUGGCUUUGCCGAUAACAGGAUACACGGAGGGUUGGCUACGUGCCACUUGCAAUUUGGAAAACCAUCACGAUUUAAGUAGGUUAUGGGUUAUUGGACAAGUAAUCAACAUAAUGGCUCCAGCAUGUUGAUUACUGUUUCAGCUUAAUAUCCAGGUGUGUUUAGUUUUUGCCUAGAUUAUUUGCUUUGGUUCUGAGGAUCUGUGAUUACCAUAGCACAUCAAGCUGAGACCGAAAGAUAAGACUUGGAAUAAAAUCAGUAAAAUUCUAGUAUAAGUUGAAGAAAAAAUCAUGAAUUGGGUGUCAUUGCAAUGGCAAGGAGGGUUUUCGUGUGAAAUACUUUCCUUUCAUGAGACGCAGGGUUGUGAAAUAGUUGUUAACUUGAUUAUCAUGAGCUUGCAGGAGUCUGAUGCAUGCUUGAAUAUCACGUCUAGUGAUUGAACCAAUGGGGACGGAAUUGGAUACCUAAGUUAAUUUGGAAUCACAUUCCUCAACGCGAUUCUCCUUUUAGGUUCGGAUGACUCAGAUCUCACUUAUUCAUUCAUGCUAUACUAGUCAACCAAAUUCAAAUUCAGCUCUUUAUUUUGUACCGAAUUAGAGAUAUUCAAGUCUAACACACAAGGUUGCCAAAAUACAACACUAAAACUUAAAAAUCAAGACCUUUCUUUGCCAUUUUGGGUUUGGGCAUCCAGAGAACUGUGAUUGUCUCUUCGUAUGCUAUAUGACUAAGUGAAUUAUUAGGGCUCUUAAAUGCUCUUUGGACAUGAUUCUUGCAUUGUUGUUUACUGGGUAGCGUCUCUCUUUAUGGUAUGUUAGGUGAUGCACUUUAUCUUGUCUUUUUUUAUAUAACUUGGAGUUCGACCCACUGGACCGCCUAAUCUAGCGAACCAAUCCCAACAUUCACAAGCAGGUGUAGGGAUUUAAAGCUGAGACAAAAUCUCAUAUGGACUAAAUACAUAAAUUGAUGACAUACAAAUGGGAGUCGAACCCGAAACCAAAAAUUUCACGAGACUCUUGAUGCCCAAGUGACUACUAUUCAAGCCAACCCUGGAAUUAUUUGAAGAAAAAUGUUGCAAUGCUAAGACCAAGAGAGAAAAAAAACUGACCAUCAAAGAAAUUAUUGAAAAUGAAGGGCACUUGGAACAUUUGUGUGAUCCAAUUAAACUAGAUUUUUAUAACCGUGGGGUCGACUAAUGUUAAAACUAGUUGUGUUUCACCAAUUUCCAAAAUAGGCUCCAAGAUUUGUAUUUUAGCUGACCCUCAAGUAAUAUGAAGUAUGAACCAUACGAUAUCAUUCCCCACUUUUUCAAAUAAGCACACCACAAGACACCACUUACAUUAGUCUCUUUUUUUUCAAAUAAUUUUUAAAUAAAUUAGUAAUUAUUCAGUACUUUUGGAGUACCAUUUAAUAUUGCCUUUGUGAUGCUCUCUAUUAAUGACCUAUCAAAAAAUAUUUCGAGUAGGACAAUGUUAUUGGGUUCUCAUUUGCCACGAGCACAGCAAGCAAUGUUGCAAGUUAAUUCGGGAGUACCUAACAACUUUCUAAAUUAGCACAAGUAUGCAAAAACCGAAGGGUUGACCUAGUUGGAAAAAAAUGCGUUAUUAUAAAGUAAGACGUUUAAAUUCGAGUCUCACCUCGCUCUCUUGUUCCAGUCUUUCUUUCUGAUUCUAAUUUAUUUAUAUAUAUAUAUAAAAAAAGAUUCUUGUGUAUAUAGAAUGGUAGGUAUUACCAUGAUAGAGAUAGGACAAGUACAGACAUCAAAUGAAUUGAUGCUCUCUUUACAACUCAAGGACUGAGUGCUUCUAUUAUAUAAAUCUCAAGUGAUACUCCCAGUAUCAUGUCAAUCCAAGUGGUGGGGCAAUUAAGAAAACUUAGCAAUUAAUACUACUAGUCUUCUAAAAGUAGCAAUUACCUAACUUUUGUCAAUCACAAGAUUAAUUACAUUAACCCCACCCCACCCCAUUUAAUGGAUAACCCAAUAAAGCAAUUCAGAUUCCCAGAUUUCAUUUACUACCAAAGACUAGAUCUAGAUCGUAAUCACUUCUCUGAACUCAUGGAAUCUUAAAAAGUCCAAGUGUUAACUUAUACUACAAGGCCACCCUAAUUAAAGUUCUAGACUUUAAGUAAGGGUAAAUUUCACUAUUGGUCCUAGUUUUAAUUUGGACAAUUAAAAUCCUCAAGUUUUAAUCUAGUUCCCAUGUAGUACCCUCAAUGCCCGUUACCAAUUUCAACAGAAGGUAUAUAUGAAAACUCACAUGGCCACUUUUAGUGACUAAGAUGAAAUGUCUGUAAAACUACCUUCUAUAAAUGGUGAUAUGAGCAUCUUGUGCUCGCUUUUCAUUCAAAUUCUUAUCUGGUAAGUCUAGCAUUGACGGAGGACUACAUUGGAACUAGAUCGAAACUGCAAUGUCCUAAUUGUUCAAAUUAAAAUUGUAAAGGCCAAAAGUGAACCCCUUUGGUUAACCUACAUGCCAAUGGUGAAAUUUACCCUUAAACGGAUCACAAGUUGUGGAUGACAAAGAAAUAUGAUCCAAAUAAAAAAAUAUAUAUAUCUCCCUCUAUAUUAACAAAAGUUGCAACCACUUGCAUAUAUCAUCAUCCUGGGCAAGCAGGCUAUCAGAAGGAAGCACAAAAGGGAAGUGAGAAAAAAGGCAAAGACAUGUCGAAAGAAAAUAAAAGUAAAAGGAUUUAGACAGAGACCUGAAGAGAAAAACCUUAAUCUUCUCCUCCAGUUUUCUUCUGUAUGUUCAUGGUGUUAAACUUUCUUGGCUUUUCGUGGAAAGGCGCUUCAGAAACUCAUAGGUAGUGAUCAUGGUGGUUGCAGACAUGGACAUGGAAGCCCACCGCGGUCCCAAGCCUCUGUAACAGGCCAUCCACCCACCUUCUCUAACCAAAUUCCGAACUGUUUGCCCAAUUGUCGGUCCUCUUCGCCCACUUUCAUCACCAUCUAAGACCUGCAACCGCGUCUUGAUCGUAUCAAGGGGCAUUGUAAUCAAGGCUGAAACACCCCCUGCCAUGGCUGCACUCAGCCCCUGAACCGCCAUUAUAGUCUUUGAAUCCGGUCUGAAAGUGUUGACACCAUUCUCACUGCUAACCUCAUCUUUCUUACUUAAGUAACACCCAAUUCCGCCCCAAACAAGCCUUUGAGCGACAGAGUAUGACGCCCACCAAACCGCGUUUGAAGGGGCAUAGGUUAAGAUUGAAAUCCCAAAUCCUCUAUACAGACCCCUCGGUCCAUCGGUACUGAGAAUCUUCCUAAACGCAUCGAUCCCACCGAGAUAUUUACACGUGGACGUGGAAUUGGGAAUUUUUGGGUUUUCACCGCCCUGCACCAUGAGCCUCUGGCUAACCACAUCGACUGGGGUCCACACUAGCUGGGCCGCCAUAGCUGCGCUUAACCCGGCAGCAGCAUUGGCAAUGGCAGCCGCAGUUGGCUCCGGAAUUCCUAACCUAAUUGUCGCAAUCCCAACAUUGCUCUUCGUCACCUCAAGCGCUGUCAUGUACAGAGCUCGAGCUGGGAUUGUUCCCAUCAACGAAGUCCCAAAUCCUCGGUACAAUCCGCGAAAACCCUCGUGCCUAACAAUGGAAAUCGCGGUUUUGACACACGAAACCUGCGAUUGAGCCACUUGUUGCCGAGUUUUCAACACCACAACAGGGUACAGAGUGGCCGAAACCCCUGAAAACAGGGCAGCGCCAAGGAAGAAAAACUUCGAUUUAUCGAGCAUCUGCCAAUCGAUAUCGGCCGGUAUGUGAAUCUCCUGUGCCGAUUCCUCAUCGGCCGUGCUCAAAUUCAUCUUCGCCACUUUCAGAUCCUCAAGUUAACCCUCAAAAACCCAACCCUAAUUCGCUCCCAACCUCACCUUCAUCUAAUUCUACAGCCCUAACUGUACAAAACCGAAAACCUAACACUAAUUCCAAAACUGUACAAUCGCGGAAUCAUCAUAUCAUACAAAUCUAAAAACACAAAAUCAAAUAUCCCAAUCCCAACACAAUUUACACAGCUAGGUCACGGAUCUAGGGGUUUUUUUCCUCUUGCGAAGCCAGUUCUUCGAUCGAAACGGAUCUAACAUUUCUGGAUCGUCCUUACCGGAGAAUCAAAGUUUGAAGCAAUCAUCUUCGUCGUUGCCGUUGCCGUUGCCGUUGCCGUUGCCGUCGCCGUCGUCGUCGACCGUCGGAUCUCGAAGCGACGACAGUAAAGCAUCUGAUCUCGUCGGAGAAAACUAAUCAGCAAUCUCUGUCUAUAUAAAAAACAAAGUAGAGAUAUAUAGAUGUGUAUAUAUAUAUAUACACAGAGAGAGAGAGAGAGAGAGAGAGAGAGAGUAUGGAGGAGAGAUAGAAUCGGUAUACACAGUUCUUUGGGGGGAGGAGAGAGAGACGGGAGUGACUGAGAGCUGUGGGCGAACCGGCAUUGCUUUUAGGAUAAAAAGUGAGGAGAGAGAGAAACCGGGAGGAGCGGGCACGUGUCGGUCACAGGUUCAGCAGCUCUUUGUUAGGGUUUGUGUCGGGACGACGGCCUUUGUCCGAACGAAUAAGAGUAAAUUUCAUCAUUGGUAUGUGUAGUAUUAAAUAUUCUUACUUUGGUUCUUAUAAUUUUAAUUUAAAUAAUUAAUAUUUAUAGUUUCAAUACGGUUCUGAUAUAUUUUUUAUAUCAAUACCCAUUGAUAAUUUAGAUUAAAAUUAAGUAUGAUAAGCUCAUAUGACCUUUUUUAAAAGAUAAUUUUGGUCACCAUAGUUUGAUUGAAGUUUUGUUUUGAUCCUUAAAAAUAAUCAUAUGAGAUUUUAUAUAUAUAUUAUGUUCAAAUUAUCAACAAGUAUUUACAGGAGACUAUAUUGGAACUAUAUUGAAUCUAUAAGAUCUUAAUUAUUCAAAUUAAAACUAUAAAAAACAAAAUAAAACUUUAGUCAAACUAAAGGUACCAAUGAUAAAUUCUACCACUCAACACAUCACUAAACGCAUCCAUCUUAUCCACGAGAUGGGAUUGGGUGUGGACGGUAUUGUACAAGUGGAGUCCGGAUUGGGCCGAUAGUUGUCGCCACGUCAGAGAAAGGUUGUCGAAGGUGGACGUGGCCAUAUGCCCAGUCACGAGGCUUUUCCUUUGGGUUUGAUUGCCCACGGUAAGAGGUGGGAUCGGAUCCGUACAAUUAUAUAGUUUCUCUUUCUUGUUUGCACCCAACAGUUAGCCACCCCACCCGCCGCCUCUAUGACCCCAACGACUUCUACAAUUGAUAUGCGUCACGGGGCGGCGGGGCUUCAAUACCAUGGUGGAUCCUGUAGCAUGUCUUGUGUCUUGUAGUAUUUGACCAGGAUCCAAGGGGAUGGUUGAAAGCGAUCACUAUUUUAAAAUUAUAUAUAGAUUAUAAAUUCAUCUUUCCAAAGUUAACAUUUUGGCCCGUAAUUAAUUUGAAUACGUGUUAGCUCACCUAUCAAGCUACUUAAAAUUCCCUAUUAAUUCAACACUCACUUGCCUCAAUAAAUGUGUUGAUUCACUAUUCACUGUCUAUUUAUUAUUUUAUUAUUAUUUUUUUAAAAAAAAGUAUGUUGAAGAUUGUUCAUAAAAAAUAAAAAAAUCAAUUCUAAAAAACGUAUAUUGAUUAAAUAGAGUUAAGAUAAAGUAUUAAAAUAGUGACUUGCUAAAGAAAAAAAAUAUUAUUUUAAAUUAGAAUUUAGUUCAAAGUAACUUCUACACUCUUUUUUAUCUCUAACUUGUUUAAAUUUUUAUUUAUUAUUUUUUCAAUUUAAUUUAGUUUUUUGGAUAGUUGAUAUGACAAAAAGAUGAGAGACUGUAGAGAGUUUAGAGGGAGAAAGUGGUUUUAUAAUUUUAAAAGAUGAAUAAUGACUACACAUGCAGGGAGCAGUGUCAUUUCCUAAAUGUGAGACCUAUCAGGAAACCUAUUGGAGCUCUUUUUUGCAUUGACUUCCUAAAUUAGAGCAAAAUUAUGGGAAGAGAAGUGGCUGGAAAUCUCGAUACACCAUGUUGCCGAAAAUGCAUUGGAAUUGAGAGAGAACAGUUUUUUGGAGGGGAGGAUCGGGCGGCCAUGCAAAACUCAGCCAUAACUCUACCUACGCAAUAGUUUCAGAUACGAUCAUGCGCUGCUAGGAUUCUCAUUACGUUGCAUCGUCUUUUCCAUCUCUCAACGAGAUUUGGGCACCUGUUCCACAUCCAUACGAAGAAGCGGCUUGUGAGAAGCACCAGAACAAAUGCACAAACUACAAUCCAAACAUAUAGUGAUAGCGGAACUAUCACGUGAAGAUUUUCCGACCAUAGCAUUGGAAACACCAUUUCAAGCGUCAAAAUAUACGCGCCAGCCAUGGUUGCAAUUGCACUGCACAUUGCGAAUAUCAUCAGCCAUAGAAAGAGCUUGUUCUCGAAGGGAAAUCCACUCAAGGCCAGAAGGAUAGUGUUCAGAGACGUUAUUAAGGAGGCGGUGUUAAGAAACAAGCAAGAAGGAUAAAGGUUCACCACACUUUGAGUGCCCGGAAUGGAUGUUCCAGCAACGUGGAAUGAGCCGUCUCCAACACCAUUAUUUGGGGUUAUAUUGUCUUGCCAAACACCACCUGGCGGACUUAGAACAGCCUGGUAAGCCAUGGUGGCUGUUAGGGUGGCUGCUGUGACUAAAUGGCCACAAACCUCCUUGAGCCAGGCAUCGUCGACCUUUAGAUACUUAUUCCAGAACCUCAGAAAUGAUUGCCAUUGUGAUUCUCAGCAAAUUUUUUAGGACUAUUUGGGGGUGACGACGUCCUCUGAUCUUCACCAGUUGGUGGUUUUGGGUGGAGAUCCUCGUAGGCUUUUCGCACACUGGCUUGCAGAAAAAAACUCACGGAUUGCCAUGAAAAGUCUAGUUGGACGGUGAUCCAGAACAUCCAAAGCUGUAGAACCAUUCUGGUUCUUAAUAUUGGCGUUUUCUUUGGAAGUCUUUAUUCAAAAUAGGUAUUCUAUGGUCUGCACAACAUGCCAUCAACGUUAGAAGCUUCAAAAAAAGAACAAAGCUCUGUUUCUUUUUCCUUUCCUUCCCUUCCCUAUCAGUAAAUAGUUCCUUGUGAAAAGAACCUAGUUUCUCUUCAAUGAACUAGAACUCAUCUGCAGAGAAGCUCAUAUCUUCUAAAGUUAAUACCCAUGCUAUAUAGGUCAUAUUUAAUGCAAAUUAAGGUUGCCACUAUAGCAGGUCUAGGACAGUUUUAGUGGGUAUGCAAAUGCUGCUCCAAAUUUUUCUGGAGAGACUAAUUCCGGUGACUAAAACCCACGCCAUUGUGCUGCGUAUAAGAAACAUUUGUCAUUAUUCGAUGUCAUGAUGACAUGAUCUCUACAAAAAAACCCUACAUAAUAUGAUGCAUUAGGACAAAUAUAUACGUUUAAAGCAUGCAUGUGUAUCUGUAUCUAUACAAAUGCUUACGUCCGUUUGCUUGAGGGCUGCAGCAAGAUGCAAGAUGAUGUUGUCGUUGCCGUCCUGAGAGUUGAGGAGAAACUCCAUGUCAUUGCCCCCGCAAAUACUCCACAGUGUUGUAUUUGACACAAGUGCAAAACAGUCUCUCCUCUGCUUAUUUUUUCAAGGAUUGACUCAGGACGGGCCCGAAUCAGUUCCUCUAUGACCUCAACUCGCCCUGUCAUGGCCACCAAGUGGGGAGGGGUUCUACCAUCUUGAUCACUCGUAACAACUCUCGUACGAUCUCCACAUGGCUCUCAGCCGAAGCCAAGUGAAGAGGGGAGCACCGCAUUGAGUCUAACUCGGUAACGAGUUUGGGUUUUCGGCUUAGGAGCGUUCUCGUAAAAUUCAGGUGAUCACCAAGCACUGUUAUGUGCAAGGGAGUGUCGUCGAAGCAUGUGAGAGAAACUCUGUCCAGAAUGAGUUGAUCUUCUUCACUCAAUGCCUCUAAUUCUAGGACACUGCCACUCAGAGAUGCUUUGUAGAGCCUUCUUUCCAUAUCUGCUGUCUCACUCAUCUCGACAUAAGCUCAAUACUAUUUGGAGGAGUCGAAUAAGCCACUUAUUAAGGGCAAGAUAACUAUAAGGGAUAAUGAAAACAAUUGAUAAAAGUAAAGCAUUGAAGUAAAGGAGAUUCCAAGUGUCUGUCUUUGAAGUUAUAAAAGCAUGUGAAUAGUGUAACUUUCCUGAUGAGCAACUAUCAGAGAACCCAAUGUCUAAGCUAAUAUGUGACUCAAUAUCUGGACUGCCUAUUCAAGGAUUAAAGCUAUAAAUUGAAAAAGCUCUUUUUUAAAACGGUCUUACACAAACGCUAUAGCAUAACUUAAAAGCUAUCUUCCCUUCCUAAUAAUCGGCUGUUUUCAGCUUACAAUAAGUCGUCUUCUGCUUAUAAUCAAUAAACAAAAGCUACACCAAACAUUUUAGCACAAAAAGAAAGAUAACAAAAACAUAACAGAACCAAAACUAUGCCAUAAGCUGUGACUAAAAAGCAAACAUCAGUAUGGGCUAAAAUAGCCAUUAAUCAUUAAUGAUUAUAUAAUUGGAUCUUAUAGUUGCAACUUUGCUCUUAUAGGAAAAAGUGCAAAGGCUCUUUAGGAGUAGUUUAGAAGGAAGCCAAUCAAACCAAAAAUAUUUUAAAUGGUAUAGCUUCUAUGUUAAUUUUUUAUUUUUGGGCGGCACUGAUGCCACACUUUUAUGGUGCCACGAAUAUUUGUUCGAUUUGACAUUUUUACCUUCGUCUCUCUGACUCUUCUCUGCCUGCUCUUCUUCCUCAGUUCUUUAGCUUUUUAUCUCACUACAAAGUUUUUUCCUUCUUCUAUCGCUAUGAAACAAACACACUGACGAAUCAUUUACCUAGCCCACACUCAUGGGCACUAGACAGCACCUGUCUCUCUCUCUCUCUCUCUCUCAAACUCACAACCUGUCUCUGUCUCUAUCUCUCAUGGCCUAACACCAAAAAUUAACUUCUAGUUCAUCUAAAUUACCACCACAGAUCACCACUCAUAGCCCACAAAUAAGACCACUUGUACAUUACUUUCGAUUUUAGAGUGACAAGGGUUUGAGUUAAAUGAGAGAUAAAAAAAAUGUAGAAGUGUAUUUUCGCAUCAGAAAAUGGUUGAAGAAGAUGGGUAUCAGGAAGAGAUACAGAAAUGAAGUAGAGGUGCGAAAUGGGGAAGCGAAAAAGAUGGCGAGGGCAAGUCAUCUUUGAUCUUGAGGAUGGGAGGAAAAAAAAAUAUUUGGCGGCUCAUGAUGGUUGAUCGCUACCGUUGAUCUUUGAAAACAAGAUCGAAAACGGGGAAAGGAGAGAAGAGAAGAUAACUUAGUUUUCUGGUGGCAUCAAGUAAUCAAGUUGCUGCGCCAUGAGCAGAGGAGACGAUGCCUCUCACAAUGCUUAAUGGCAGCUUCAGAAUUAAUUCUCUCUCUCUCUUGGGACUUGUAGAGAAAGAAAAGGGUUCAAAAUAGGAAAUAUAAGAGAGAGAAAGGAGGGUAAAAUAGUCAAGACAAUACAAAUGAGCAUGGCACCAUAAAACUGAGUCAUAGCAUUAGUGCCACCCUUUUUUCUUUUGAACAAAAAAGUUUCCAAGUGUCAAAGAUCCUCAAAAAAUGAAGAGACGCAAGUUGCUAACUUGGUUUCAUGACUUCAGAGACGUGGUGGUGGUGGUGGUGGGUGGGUGGGUGGCGGGGGGACUCAAACAUAAGAAGAAUCAAGAAAAAUCAUCAAAUUUAGCAGUACGUAGCACCAAUUUUUUUGUUGCGUGACUUCCAUUCUAAGAAGCCAUUAUUCACCUCAGUUAACACAAGCAUAUCUGACAUAUAUGGGAAAUUAUGAACAGUUACCACCAGUUUUUUCCAUGAUCCUGGCAUUCCCCGAUUGUUUACGUCUUUUUUAUUUCGUAUUUUUACUUAUUUUAUUCCCGUUUACAAAGAGAAAAACACAUAAAUCCGCCAUUCACCUGAAAGCCUUUUCGAAUUCUCUUGAAGUCAGACGUACAAGCACAAAAAGAUAAAAUGAACAUACAAAGAAGUUUGUAGAGAGUACAAAACCUAAAAUAGACUGAUUUCACCUCAUAAUAUUCAUACAUACCACUUCCACAAUCAUAUAUUCCCUGGCAACCAGUGGUAGAAGGAACCAAAUCUGACCGAAAAAGUAUGCCCACAAAAAACUGGCUAAAAGAAUAUUUCCAAAAGGCAUUCCAUCUGACGAAAUGGAUAAAAAUAAAGUAAUUCUCAAAAGCCAAGUGGGAUGCUUACAAUACUUGCAAAAUUAUUGAAUGCCUUACUACUAAAUAUCUUAUCGAUUUUGGUUAGGUUGGGGGAGUUCAACCUUUGACCACAUAACCUAGGAGGCAAUCAAAGUUUAUGCAACUACUGCGCCAUUAGUUAUAGAGUACAUAAUAGAUAUCAAAAAACUGGGAAACUCAGAAGUUAGCUUCCAUACCUGGUCAAAACUCAUUAAGGAAUGCCGCAAGCAAACUGGCUGAAAGCGGCUCGUAUCCAUCGCCUAAAAAGUACAGAUCAUGGUCAGAAAGGCAUCCAAAAGAAAGCAGAUUCAAAACGCAAACUUACAAUAAAAUAGCAACACCGAAGAUUUGUCAGAAAUCAGAUGCAAGUCCUAAAAGACAUGUUCAAUCAUUAAAUGUUUAUUUUUUUACAAUGUAAACAUAAAUCUUCAGCUGUUUAAUUUUUUUACAAAUUGUAAACAUAAAAUUACUAUAAGCCAUGAGGGAAUAUCUUCCAAAAGUUUACUAUGUUUUUUUUGAAUCUAUCCUAUUGAAGAUCUUUAUUAGGGACAGUGCAUUUUAUACCGUGUAUACUCAAUGUGGUGGAACGGGGUCCACAUUUUUGUAGGGUCUACCACAUGUGAGUAUUCAUUCUCAAUGCACUGUAUAAAAUGCAAUGUCCCCAUCUUUUUGCCAAUCAUUGGUCCGACUUCUAUGCUUUUUAGAGAAGAAAAAUUCAUCUGCCAAUUAUUUUCUAUGUUCCUUUGGGUAAUAUCACUUGAGACUUCUAACUAUCAGAGGUCAUGGAUCUAUUAAUGAAAAUUUGCUAAAGUCAGUACAACCCCCACCCCCAACUCAGUCUAGAAUUUAUCAAAUUCCAUGAACAAAAGCUUAUAUCCAGCACACAUAUGUUUUUGGCAAUAUAAACAUAAAGCUUCAGCUGCAUAAAAUUCACAUUUGUCAACAUAAAAGUUACUAUUGAGCCACGAGGAGCUGUCUUCCAAAAGUUCUUCGAAAUGACUGGUCACACUUUCUUUUGAAUUUGUCCUAUUGAAUCAUGGUCAAAAUUACAUGCUUUUAAAGGAGAAAAUUUCAUCUGGACAGUUUAUUUUAUAAGUUUCUUUGGGUAAUACCCAUUCUAACGUCUAACUAUAAGAUGUCAUAGAUGCAGUAAUGAAAAUCUAAUAAAGUCAAAAACAUCCUCAUCAACUUUAGAAUUUAUCAACUUCCUGGUGCAGUGCCAGGGCAAAAGCUUAAGCCAGCAUAGCUAAGCUAUCCAAGGAUUAUGGGAAGAAGAAGAAAUGGAAUGCAAGUGAAAUCUAAAAUAAAACUGACGAUUUAAAUCAGAACCUACCGACACAUAGUUAUGUUCCGAGAACGAUUCUGAAUUUGUCUGUUGUAUAUAUCCAUGUCUACAGUUCUGAAGCCAGCGCUCAUAAACAAGGUUGACAAACAUUCUUCAGAGAAGUAAAAAGCGCUCUGAAGUGCAGAACUGAAGAUUGUUAAACCGGCUAUACAAUAUUACUCCUCCAAAGGAAAAAUAGUGACCCGGAGUUAUGGAGUACUUACAGUACCAUCUCCUCGAAGAUAGAAGUUCUCACUAAUCACCUGAUUCCGCUUAUGCAACUCUACCUAAUCAUUUGGUCAGCAGAGUUGCAUAACAAGAGAAUGAGGAUUCCAAUUCACCAUAAGUCAAUGAAGAAGUAAAAUCCAUUAGAGAAAAAAAGAACAGUCAAAAGUGAAAAGUAAACAAGGAAAAUGUGAGUCGGUGACUACAAAAUAACUUUAAACUUCUUAUUAAUUUAUAAAGCAAUCUAUAGGACCUUUCUCUGGAAUGCAUUAUGGAGAGGAGUAACUUGCUCCAAUAGAAACUGGUCAUAAAUAUUUUAAACAUUUGGAAUGAUUUGAUAUCACCACUCAAAAAAUAAUUUAUUUCUCUUAUUUUUAUUUGCUGGGAAGCUAAGAAGCACAUCAUGUCACACACCAACACGACACUCAUCAGACACUUCAAAGCACAUUUUGGAUAUACGUCCAAAUAUAUUCUACUAUUAUAUGAAGUUUUGUAAACUGGGAUAUGCUUCAAACACUCGGAGAACUUGUUUAUUCCUUACGCACACAUGAAACACAUUACAAGUUAAUUUAGAAGUAAAUGAAAAAAGGAAAAAUAACGUAUACAUAUUCUCCUCUUUUAGACUAGAAUUUCGUUUUACAUAAUUAUUUUGUUAUUGUAUUCCAAUGAAAUAUUCAUACACACGAUAAUCGCUUAUUCUUAUAUAUGACAUAAAAUAAAUAUAGAGAACUAUAAAUUUUGUGCAUAAAGUUUUUGUAAUCAUCAUGUCGGUGUCGUGCCAUGUGUCCUUGUAUGUGCUUCUUAGAUGGGAAACAAGGAAAAAUAAACUAAAACUAAUAACGUGCAAGAAGAUAUUGUUGUUCAAUAUGCGGGACGUAUCGUUGAUAUAGAGAAAAACUGCAAAGCACAGCUAAAGCAAGCUGAGAGGGUAGUUUCAUAGUUCUAGAGAAAACCUCAACAGGCAACAGGGCACACAAAACUUGUACGUACAAGGUAUAAAACGAAAAAGAAAAAGAAAAAGCCAGCAAAUUGUAAAACAGAAUAAAAUAGAAGUGGCUCAAGGGCAUGGCGAUAUUCAAAUCAAUUUAAUUGACACGAAUAGCCAUAAUAACGAGUUGUCAAGUCCAGCUCACCAGCAGCGAAAGAAUUAUAAAAUUAGACAAAGUAAUGGAAAAGAAUUUGCCAGUCGGCAGUAACAGUUCUGUGUGUCUUCCAAAUGUUUGGUGAAGUAGUAUAAAUAAGGCCUAAUGACAGUAAAAGAUAUGGAUUAAAAAUCAGGAAACUUACUUGGGCGUAAUCCCCUAUCGCGUAGUCUCGUAAAAGAAUAUAUCCAUAGGGCUGGACAUUGAGAUAAGCAUAGGAUGUCAAUAUGGAAAAACAAUGCAAUCACCGGAAUAAGAUAAAACAGGUGGCUAUCUCAACCUAUACAACGUCGAAGCUACCUUUAAUACUUUCUUAAUGUUCUUCAAUACUAAUGGCAUCUUCUUUGGACAAACUGCAGACAACAUAAAAAUCUGCUUAACGUGUAAGGUGUUUAUACAAGCAGUGACGCUGUACUUCAUAAAACUAAAAUACAAGAAGUCCACAUGACUACGGAGGAAAAAGAAAAACUAUCCUUCCAAAGAUCACAAGAAAUAACAACUAUAAAAAGAAACAAGAUGAUUCCCACUUUUUUUUUGUCGUUGGUAAGUAAUUAACUUAUUUCCCGCUCUUACCAAGGUUAUGACAUCAAUAGAAGAAGGCAUAAUUCUGUCACAGAGAUCAUCAUUCCCAACGUCACAAACAAAUGCAUUAACUUGGUCUUCAUUGAAAUCCACAUGUGACUGCAUUCAGUGGAAAAACCAAAGUUAUUUAAAUCCUGCCAAUCCAUUCUAGCAGAAGGAUUAACAUGGGAAAAUCACUACCAUACAUUGGAAAACCUUAGACUACCAUUACCGUAAAUUCAAAAAUAGAGAACGAACAUGCUAGGGAAUUUUCUAUGGAAGAACAAGUGUGUUUGGGGUGGGGAUAGUGGGGGAGAAUUCUGGGAGGGUAGGUUCACUACCAGUAGUUAUACAAUUAGGAUAAGAAAUUUGCUAUUCUUCUGGGUAAUAAACCAUGGUUGUUUACUGCAGCUCAAUCUGUAUAACCACGAGUUUAUUCACAAUCACCAUCACAAAGAUCUCUAACUCAAAAGAUACAUGAAAUAAGGCAUAUGUACCAGCAUUUAAUAAUACUAAUGAGGAAAAAGGAAUAGUACAAAUUUCCGAUAUGGAAAGAAAUGGUUUUGCAUAUCAAAGUGAAAAUGGGUGAAAAGUAAACUAAUAUUAGAUUUUAAGAGAAACUAAAAUAUACCUAGAGAGAGAGAGAGAGAGAGACCUUAACAAGUGCGAUUGCACGUGGUGAGUAGUCACAAGCAUGAACAAAAAGUUUAGGAUAUGUAGCAACCAGGGGGAAAAUAGUAUUGCCAGCUCCACAACCAACCUGCCAACACAGAAUAUCAUGUUGGCCUUUUACAGUUAAUAGCAAUUGAUCCUAAAACUACUUUCCAAAAGAAAUGGAAUGGUGAUCACAAGAUUCAAUAUAGAUAUUCAUCAACUUCUAGAAAUGAAUUCAUAUAUCAUACCUAAGGCAACAAACAUUGAGCGUAAACACUUGGGGUUUGGUUCCAUGGAUUUUUUUAAUCCAAUUGGCUCUAUCCAAAAACCUAUCAAAGGUUACCUAUGUCCUUUCAGACAUCAAUUCAUGUCAGUCAUGAACUCAAAUUUGAAAGAAAAAUAGUGUUUCCAUUGGCAAAAGCAGUAUGAAGGCAGCCUGUGUGGCAAUGCUGCUAACUCUUAUUUCACUACUCUAAGAAACUUUUAUGUGUAAUCACAUAUCACAUAUGCUCUUCUCUUUUUUAUUUAAAAAAAAAAAGGCCAUAAGCAGAUCGAAGUAAGCAAUAUAGUACCAACGGAAUCUGCUAGUCUAUUAUUAGUUUGUUCCAUGAUCAAGGACCUGUAAAUCUGCUUGGUGUAGCUUUUUAUACUCACAACAAAAAUGUUAACAUGUUUGGUUAAAUAACUCAUUAGAUAGCUUGUUGAGAAGUGAAUGUCUCAAAUGCCUUUUUGUCCAUGUGCAUGUAAGUGGAAAGAGCAUGGCCUCUUUGUCCAUACGUAUUUUACCAGCUCCAAAAAGGGGGGGAAGCACAAAUUCGAGCUUAAACAAGUCACUUUUUUGGUCAAAUAAGCUGAAAAGGCCAAAUAAGUAAUAAUAAAAUUGAUACCAAGCGCCAUUACCAUUAGUCAGCCUUUUUUUAAUUAAAUAAGCUAGCUUAUAAGUGCUAGAAAACAUGCUCUACCCUAUGGACACAGCUCAUAUAAUCAACUAUAUCACAUUCCCAGAAAUUAAGGAGAAAAACUACAAGAAAUUUUCUUCAAUUGCAUUCAGCAACACAUUUAAAACAUCAUCAUUUGUUAGUUGUUACACUGCUUUGUGUUUGUGAUUAAUUGAACUUUCUCAGAUUGCACAGAAACAAUGAAAAUAAAUUAGUAGAACUUUGGGCGGGGGGCGGCAGUUAAUUAGUAGUAGUAGCAAGUCACAAC